CUUUGUGCCACGCAGAGGAGUGCUGUGACUCGGAGAGGCCAAAUCUGAGGAACAUCUGCAAGCUCUAAUGUGGUCAUCACGUCUUCUUCCAAAGUAGAAAAAGUUAAUGCUUCCAAUCCACCAGGCAUGAAGGAGGGAAUUAUUCUGCUGCAACUCAGGUUUUCAGCCUUCAUACUUUAUAGGAACACAGCAAAGCUUGGUGACUCUUCCUGACAGUGCUGCACUUUGAGGAGGUCCUCUAUCUCUUACCUGAGUGAAAGUAUCUUACAGAGCUGAUGGCACCAGUGACACAUCUGCAGGUGUCGGCCUUGCCUAGAACCGGAUUUCUGAUAAGAGCUGCGGAUCACCUCAGUGGAGGAGAGGUGUUUUCAGGACUGGACUUCAAUAGGGAAUAUUGACUCUUUUUUACCCAUAGCAGGCAAAAUAUGAACCAAAGCAUGGGACCUCAUAGGUUAUUUCACUUGGGAAACAAACAGAUGACACAAUAUGAUAUCUUAACCACAGUUUUGUAUUUUCAGCAAUGUGCAAAAUCCUGGUCCUUUCCUCCCCUUCUUCCCAUAGAGAAAUUAAGUCUC